rnacentral:rRNA from 1 species
UACGUAGGGUGCAAGCGUUGUCCGGAAUUAUUGGGCGUAAAGAGCUCGUAGGCGGUCUGUCGCGUCGGAUGUGAAAAUCCAGGGCUCAACCCUGGACCUGCAUUCGAUACGGGCAGACUAGAGUUCGGCAGGGGAGACUGGAAUUCCUGGUGUAGCGGUGAAAUGCGCAGAUAUCAGGAGGAACACCGGUGGCGAAGGCGGGUCACUGGCCCGAUACUGACGCUGAGGUGCGAAAGCGUGGGGAGCAAACAGG